GGCUUUUCUUUCUUGGGAGAUUUUUGAUUACUGAUUCAGUCUCCUUAUACAUUAUUGGUCUGCUGAGAUUUUCUAUUCUUCAUAAUUUAAUUUUGGUAGGUGGUAUGUUUCUAGUAAUUUGUUCAUUUCUUAUAAGUUAUCUAAUUUAUUGGCAUAUAAUUAUUCAUAGUUGUCUCUUAUGAUCUUUUGAAUUUCCGUGGUAUGAGUUGUAAUGUCUCUUCUUUAAUUUAAAAUUUUACUUGAAUUCUCUCUUUUCCUAAAUUAGUCUAGCCAAGGGUUUGUCGACUUUCUCUUUUCAGAAAACCAACUCUUAGUCUCAUUGAUCUUUCUACUGUUUUUCUAUAAUAGUCUCUAUUUUCUCUAUUUUAUUUUUCCUGCUCUAAUUUUUGUUAUUUUCUUCCUUUGCUAACUUGAGGCUUGGCCUAUUAUUCUCUUACCUCCUUGAGGUAUAAAGUUAGGUUGUUUAGUUGAGAUAUUUCAUUUUUCUUAACGUAAGUUUUUUGAUUUUUUGCUUGUUUGUUUUUAAGACAGGGUCUUGCUCUGUUGCCCAGGCAGAAGCACAGUGAUGUGAUCAUGGCUCACUGCAGCCUCAACCUCCUGAGCUCAAGUGAUCCUUCCAUCUCAGCCUCCCAAGUAACUGGGACCACAGGCAGAUGCCACCAUGCCCAGUGACUCCGUUCACAUGCUCCCGUCUUGUCAUCAAGCCCUGUUCAUCUCUCACCAUCUCUCACCUGGACCAUUGCCAGUUUCUGAGCUGCCUGCUCUUGAAUACCAGCUUCCUGAAAAUAUCACCAAAACGAUCUGGUCCUCAGACAAAGCAGAGUCUAUUGCUCACUGCAGUAACAGAGAGCUCCGUCUUCAGAGUCUUGGUAACAUUUCGCUGAGAGGACAACCCAAUCACACUGUUUAGGAGAUUUUGGAUUCUGACUAAGGUGCCUGGAGCAAAAAUGUGUCCAGAAUUGGUGGGUUGUUGGUCUCGCUGACCUCAAGAACGGAGCCGUGGACCCUCGCGUCAAAAUGGGUAGAGCUGAUUUGUGUGGAUCUGCUUCUGGACUCUACUCUGUUGCACUGAUUUGUGUUUGUGAUUUCAUGUCUCACCAAUAUCAAACUAUCUUGAUUACUGCAGCUUAUCACAUUGGCUGGGAAAUGAAAUUCAGUGAAUCAGAGUCAUCAUUAGAAAAUGAAAUAGAAGAACCAUACCAGAGCAUAAUGCACAUUACAAAGGGAAAAUACUAAAUUGCGCAUUGUAGCAGAGGGAAACAAGCUGGUGGUGGGAGCGGAUAGAAGAAAAUGAAGACGGCUCCAAACCUGGGGAGCGCGCAAGAAGAUGACACAAACUUUUGAAAUAACAUGAACACGGACAAGGGGAGUCAGAGGCAGAAGAGAAGGUGUUGUGAUGACAGAAGCAGAGAUCUGAGUGACUCACUUUGAAGAUGGAGGAAGAGGUCACAGGCCAAGUGAUACAGAUGCCAGGAGAAGCUGAAAACAGGAGGAAAUGGAUUCUUCCCUCAGAGCUUCUGGAAAAGAUCAGUCUUGCUGAUAACUUGACUUUAGCCCACUGAAACUGAUUUUGAACUUUUGACUUCCAGAACUACAGGGUCUCAUUAUUGUUGCCCAGACUCAUCUCAAACUC
rnacentral:lncRNA from 1 species